ensembl:lincRNA E330017L17Rik RIKEN cDNA E330017L17 gene
CUCAAGUCAUGUUCGAUAUCUAGUUAAGGGGUACAUUUAUCUCCAGUGUUCCCCGGGACCUUCCCUUUUGAUUUUCAAGAACAUUUUCUUCCCUCUGCCAGAGCAGUCCUUUCGAAUCAAAGGCUCGGCUUUUCCAAAGCGUAGUUUCUGAUGUGGGCUUCAGUGGACUGGCUGCGAAGUUCCUGAGACAAUGAGAGGGGAUGCUGGCUGUCUCUUUCUCUUUAUCUUCUCGCAGUAAAGCUCCAGUUCUCCUUGAGGUAAAGUGGAGCCUCUGAUUGACGCGAGGACGCGGGGAAAAUGAAAGCCAUAUUAUUAUUAUUUCAAGUUGUGUUCUUGCGGCGUUCCCGGAUGUCUGUGGUGACCCUCGUUUGUGUGAAGUCAACAAAACUGACCAGCACACCAUCUGAAUGCUACAGCGGGAUGGAGAUGGGAGGCGAAGCCUUGGAAGCUGGAGGGUGAAUAGCUGGUGUGCACAACCCCCUAGCAACGGGCAAACAAGGAGGAGUGUGGAAUGGGAGUCAGUGCUUAAUGGGCACUAAGUUUCC